UCUCCGUUGGUGAACCAGCGGAGGGAUCAUUACCGAGUUUUUCUACUCCCAAACCCCUGUGAACUUAUAUCUUUAUUGUUGCUUCGGUGGGUUAACGCCCCGGAAGGCCCAAAAAGCCGCCGGAACCAGGCGCCCGCCUGGGGACCCAUAGUCUAGUUACUCUUACUUUGCAUAUCUGAGUGGAAGCAUAAACAAGUAAAUCAAAACUUUCAACAACGGAUCUCUUGGUUCUG
rnacentral:misc_RNA from 1 species